UUUUUGUCAGUCAACUGUCAUGACUGUACCAGCGGUCAAACUGUCAUCAGUCAUAUACAUCGCGAUAUGACCGCGUUGUUGGCUAGAAACACCGAAUUGAUCACAGUCGGCACUGCUGCUAUAAAUAAAGUCUUGACUCACGAGAUAACCAUUCCACCAGCACCAUUGAUGUAUAACAGAUCAUAUUAUCACUAUCUGACGUGACAUCAUUUCACCUCGGAGAUCUUCAAGAUUGAGAUCCAAAACCUCCCAAAGACAUUUUGGAUUUGCGCAACUGAAGAUGUUGACUGGUCUUCAACUGAAACCCGAGAAAGUCAAGGCAGUCAACAAGGCAACCUAUGCUUUUGUGACAUUCAGCUGCCAAGAAGAUAAGGAGGAGGCCUUGAAACUACUCAACGGACACACGAAAGGACAAGUGCUGAGAACCAAGCUCGCCAAGCCAGUUGAGGACCCGUACACUAAGAGCCUUGCUCUGAAGAGAAGUCAAGAGGAAACUGAUGGAAACACCCAAGAAGCUAAGAGGAGGAAGGAGGAGGACAGCUUACCAGUAGAAGAGAGGUUAAACAACACAGUGACUCCACCAUGGAACCAGCCGUAUGAGGACCAGCUAUCCACCAAACAGACCAACACCAGGGAGUUUUUGAGGAAUUUAUCCAAGAUGGUGCGACGGAAUAUUGGGGAGAUGUCUCCCUGGCUGAAGCAACAAAGCCAGUAUUAGAGAGUUAUCGCAACAAGUGUGAGUUUACCAUCGGCAAGAGUGUAGAUGGCAUCGAUAACACUGUUGGUUUCCGGCUUGGUGCUUACGAAGGU
rnacentral:misc_RNA from 1 species